rnacentral:rRNA from 1 species
CCUACGGGUGGCAGCAGUGAGGAAUAUUGGUCAAUGGGCGAGAGCCUGAACCAGCCAAGUCGCGUGAGGGAGUACUGCCCUAUGGGUUGUAAACCUCUUUUGUCGGGGAGCAAAAGCUGGACGUGUCCGGCUGUGAGAGUACCCGACGAAAAAGCAUCGGCAAACCCCGUGCCAGCCGCCGCGGUAAUACGGGGGAAGCGAGCGUUAGUCGGAUUUAUUGGGUUUAAAGGGUGCGCAGGCGGAUUUUUAAGUCAGCGGUAAAAUCGUGGGGCUCAACCCCAUCCAGCCGUUGAAACUGGGGGUCUAGAGUGUGAGAGAGGUAUGCGGAAUGCGUGGUGUAGCGGUGAAAUGCAUAGAUAUCACGCAGAACCCCGAUUGCGAAGGCAGCAUACCGGUGCACAACUGACGCUCAGGCACGAAAGCGUGGGUAUCGAACAGGAUUAGAUACCCUUGUAGUC